UACGGAGGGGGCUAGCGUUGUCCGAAGUUACUGGGCGUAAAGCGUGCGCAGGCGGUUUUGCAAGCCGGAUGUGAAAUCCCCGGGCUCAACCUGGGAAUGGCAUUUGGGACUGCAAGGCUCGAGUGCGGCAGAGGAGACUGGAAUUCCUGGUGUAGCAGUGAAAUGCGUAGAUAUCAGGAGGAAUACCGAUGGCGAAGGCAGGUCUCUGGGCUGACACUGACGCUCAUGCACGAAAGCGUGGGGAGCAAACAGG
rnacentral:rRNA from 1 species